UGAACUAGUACUGAGAAGGAAAGGCGAAAAGAAGGGCGGGACGCCCAGUGAAAUAGAACCUGAAACUGUUUGCGGACAAACCGAUAGAGCCUCGUAAGGGGUGAUAUCGUGCCUAUUGAAGAAUGAUCCGGCGAGUUUGUAUUACAUUCUAGCUUAAUCAAGUCUAACUUGAGGAGGCGCAGGGAAACCGAGUUUGAAUAGAGCGAAAAUAAGGAUGUGGUACAAGACCCGAAACCAGGCGAUCUAUCCAUGAGCAGGGUGAACUCUGAUGAAGAUCAGAGGGAGGCCCGAACCGGUCUGAGUUGCAAUUCGGUCGGAUGACUUGUGGUUAGUGGUUAUAUGCCAAACGAGCCUGGAGAUAGCUGGCUCUCCCCGAAAGGUCUAUGGGGACCGUGGCUGUGAAUAAAUAUGGGGGUGGUAGAGAUACUGGAUGGGUUAUCAAGGGUAACCGAGAUAACUUAACCAAACUCCGAAUAACUCCAUAUCGUCGCAGCUAGACAAUCUUAUCGGGCUAAGCUGAUAAGUUGAGAGGGAAACAACCCAGACUCCCGGCUAAGGUCUCAAAAUCAUAACUAAGUUUCAAAGGAAGUCUACGUCCAUAGACAGCUAGGAGGUUGGCUUAGAAGCAGCCAUCCUUUAAAGAUAGCGUAACAGCUCACUAGUCGAUUGGAAGUAGGCGCCGAAAAUUUAUCGAGGAUAAGUUAUGUACCGAAGCCAGAGAUUUUACCGUAAGGUAAUGUGGUAGGGGAGCGUUCGUACAGCAGUGAAGCUGUUUUGUAAGAAAUGGUGGAGCGGUACGAAGUGAGAAUGCCGGAAUGAGUAGCGUACAAUUACCGUGAGAAUCGGUAACGCCGAAUACCCAAGGUUUCCGUCGCGAGGUUCGUCCUCGACGGGUUAGUCGGUACCUAAGGCGAGGCCAAAUGGCGUAGUCGAUGGAAGAGCAGUUAAAAUUCUGCUAUUUGUUUUGAAUCGCUUGCCUGCGCAAGCAGGUUACAGCUGGGGACUGACCGGGUUGGAGAAUUGAAGCCCCUUUGUGAAUUGGGGUGUAAGCUUUAAAAUAGGAUGUGCUGGAAAAUCCGCACAACUGAUUAAUUGAAAAGUGAUACAGAGUCUUAAGAAAUUAGGAUGAUUUCAGCUUCUUCAGCCUGCGAGAAAAGGUUCGCAGUGAGAUUCAGAUUAAGCCGUACCGUAAUCCGACACAGGUGGGUUGGUGUCAGUGCACUAAGGCGAGCGAGAGAAAGAGGCUUAAGGAACUCGGCAAUAAAACUGGACGUAAGUUCGCAAGAUGUCCUGGCCAGCUUAAUGCUGGCUUGCAACAAAAGAUUGCUAACCGACUGUUUAUCAAAAACACAGGUCCGUGCAAAAGAGAAAUCUGCGGUAUACGGGCUGACGCUUGCCCAGUGCCGGUAAGUGAAGAGGAGGGGUUUCCCGAUUUAUCGGGACAGCUUCGAAUCCAAGCUCCGGUAAACGGCAGCAGUAACUAUAACUGUUCUACGGUAGCGAAGUUCCUUGUCGGGUAAGUUCCGACCCGCAUGAAUAGCGUAACGAGUUAGCAACUGUCUCAAGCCUUUACUCGGCGAAAUUGCGUUGGCUGUGAAGACGCGGCCUACUUCCACCUGGACAAAAAGACCCCGUGGAGCUUUACUACAGCUUGACAUUGAUUUGUGCGAGCUAAUUGUUUAGUGUAAGAGGGAGCCUUCGGGCGAAAGUGAAACACCUCUCUUUGGAUCGUGGCAAAUCUCACUCAUAAACUUUGCAUACAAGUUUGGGGAAAGUGUUAGGUAGGUAGUUUUACUGGGGCGGUACCUUGCCAAAGGGUAACGCAAGGACACAAAGGUUGGCUUAGCACGGAUGGACAUCGUGCGGAAUGUGUAAAGGCAUAAGCCAGCUUGACUGCGAGUGCGACGGCACAAGCAGGGACGAAAGUCGGUCUUAGUGAUCCUCCGACGCCAUAUGGGUGGCGCGGAGCUUAAUGGAUAAAAGCUACCCCGGGGAUAACAGAGUAGUCGCGCCCGAGCGUCCAUAGCGACGGCGCGGAUCGCUACCUCGAUGUCGGCUCAUCGCAUCCUGGGGCUGC
rnacentral:rRNA from 1 species